rnacentral:rRNA from 1 species
AGAGUUUGAUCCUGGCUCAGAGCGAACGCUGGCGGCAUGCCUAACACAUGCAAGUCGCACGGGAGGAGCGAUCCUUCAGUGGCGGACGGGUGAGUAACGCGUGGGAAUCUGUCUCCGGGUGGGGGAUAACGAUGGGAAACUAUCGCUAAUACCGCAUGAAGCCUGAGGGCCAAAGGCGCAAGCCGCCUGGAGAGGAGCCC